GCCCUUUUCUCUGGAAGCCUGGUUCUGAUGUCCUCAGCAGCUGACAUCUGUGGAAAAGGGCAACCUUGAUUCAGCCCCGGAUCACAUUUCACUCUGGUGGGGACAUUGCUGGGAACUAGAGCUUAGGCUGCCGGUUGACCGUAGGAGUAGCGAGAGGAAAGGAAUCCAUGUCCAAGAAAGAUGAGGAAAGUGGAGCACAGAGAAGUUAGUUAAUUUGCUCACAGUUACACAGCAAGGCUCUCUGGACACUGGCUCCUGGCAGCUGGCAGUCGACUCGGCAGGCAGCUGGAACUCAUGUCAGAACCAGAGAGGGUGUG